GAUGAACGCUGGCGGCGUGCCUAAUACAUGCAAGUCGAGCGAACAGACGAGGAGCUUACUCCUCUGACGUUAGCGGCGGACGGGUGAGUAACACGUGGAUAACCUACCUAUAAGACUGGGAUAACUUCGGGAAACCGGCGCUAAUACCGGAUAACAUGUUGAACCGCAUGGUUCAACAGUGAAAGACGGUCUUGCUGUCACUUAUAGAUGGAUCCGCGUCGCAUUAGCUAGUUGGUAAGGUAACGGCGUACCAAGGCAACGAUGCGUAGCCGACCUGAGAGGGUGAUCGGCCACACUGGAACUGAGACACGGUCCAGACGCCUACGGGAGGCAGCAGUAGGGAAUCUUCCGCAAUGGGCGAAAGCCUGACGGAGCAACGCCGCGUGAGUGAAGAAGGUCUUCGGAUCGUAAAACUCUGUUAUUAGGGAAGAACAAAUGUGUAAGUAACUAUGCACGUCUUGACGGUACCUAAUCAGAAAGCCACGGCUAACUACGGU
rnacentral:rRNA from 1 species